CCCAACGAAAUUGGAUAAGGGGAAAAGUCCCCUCAAUGGCACCUCUACACUUCUGCACGACCCCUUAAAAAGCAAGGGGAGGACCCUCACUCGAAAAGAGGAGGAAAGUUAAAAAGGAAAGCGACGAAUAACGCCGGCAACAGAUGAAAAACAAACCACACCAAAGACCUAAGGAACCUCGUCUCAACAAAGAUGGGAAGUUCCUACCAAACAUCCCCGACCUCUAAGAAGGCCCUCGACACAGGCCAAGAAAACAACGACACCUUCGAGGUAAUGCAGAGUUCGGACCACCAAGCUCGAGCCUACGGCCAUGGACGAUAAGAAA
rnacentral:lncRNA from 1 species